AUACCGAUACAGAAACUUAUUUCCAUCAUGGCCUCGAUCUGCAGAAAGCCCGCUCUCUGCCCUAAGCAGUCCUGUGGAGAGGAACCUAGGAGAAACUACAGCCUCAGGCCAUCAGCAACCACUUGUCUCUGAAGAGAGUUCUCCAGCCUCCCUCCUCCUGGGAUGACUGACACCCAACUGCAGCCUUUUGAGAGAGCCUGCGUCAGAAUCUGCUGGCUGCUGGAUUCCUGCCACCGGCACUGGGAGACAGGAAGUGUUCCGGGACUCGAGCCCCUGCAUUUUGAAGUAUUUGCCAGUCAACAAUAACUAAUAUAGCAUAAUGCCUACUUUGCAAGUUACGAGGCUUAGGGAGUGAAGCACUUGAACGUGGUGCCUCAAAUGCAUUAGUCAGUCAACAGUUUCUAUUAUUAGAGUUGCUCUCGGUAAUUGUUGAUGCUCUGAGGAUUUACCUUAAUUUGUCUAUGUGGAUUUUUUUUUUUUUUUGGUUCUUUUUUUUCGGAGCUGGGGACCGAACCCAGGGCCUUGCGCUUCCUAGGUAAGCGCUCUACCACUGAGCUAAAUCCCCAGCCCCUUCUAUGUGGAUUUUAACAUACUAUUCAAAACUUGUGUUUUUGUGUUUUUUUUUUCUCCCCUUUCCCAGGUUGUUUUCAAAUUCUAUGCAACUGACAGAUUUAAAGAGCCCAGAACAUUCCGGGGCAUAAAGAGAACAGAGCCUGUGCAUCAGAAAUUCCGAACACCCAAAGUCUGUGACGGCCCUGAGGACUACUUGGCUCCCGUCUAUCUGUCCAUUCUGCCCACCCCACCCCCACAACUCCCUACAUAAACACCCACCACCUGUCAGAGACCCGUCCUUUUAAAUUUUCCAAACAGGGUCUCCAGUAGCCCAGGCUGGCCCUACACUUGAUAUACAGCUGAGGAUGACUUUGAACUCCAGACCCCUCUGACUCCAUCUCCAAAGUGCUGGGAUGGCUGGGAUGACAGGCCGGCAUCACCACGCCUUGUUUUGAUGUACCAGGCAGAGCGCGUGGCGGACAGGAGCUCCUUCUGCUGAGCCACAUCCCUAGUCCCCUGCCUUUUCUAGUUUGCUGGCUCUCCUCCCUGACCAACAACUUGUCCUAAAGUCACUGGGUUGCUCGAGUGGCUCUGAAGAACUUGGGUUUGUAACCUCCCGUUCUGCUCAGAUUUCCCUGGUGUCUCAGACCAUAGCAUGGCCACACCCUUGCUUCCUGUUUGGACUGAGGAGCUCGGUGUCUAUCCUGACCUCCGCAGGGGUCUUCAGGCCCCGCCCUUGCUCCCCUGAUGGAUAGGUGCCCCGCCCCCCCUGCAUCCUUGAGGUCCACGGCCGUGUUUGGAACAUGACGAAUGCUCACUGUCACUGUAAGGAAGCAAACAGGAAAGGGGGCACCUGGGGAGAGGCUAUCUCAGUGACAGAAGUGGGACAUACUGGGAAAGACGGAGGCUCAUAAUGGCCAGGACAUAGGUGCGUAGGGGCAAGUAGGGCCAGGAUACAGAAAGUCUGCAGCUGCAACCCAGGGGCUUAAGCAAAACUGGUUAACAACCAGGAACCAUUGUUUGUUGCUAAAUGGGGGGUUGGGGGAAGGAAUAACGAAGCCGACUUGGGGGUGUUCGUUCCAUUGGAAUGAAGGGAGAGGGGCAAGCCAAGAGCCUGGGGUAUCACCUCCAAUCUGCCUCAGUGGACCAGGACCAGAGACAGGACUGAAGAUCUGAGCUAGGCUGCAGAAGAGGAGAUUCGUAUGAGACACAAAAAGCCACAGUCUGGCCAGCUAUCGAGGAGGGGAGAUAGGGCAGAGCCAAACAUGUAAGUUUGUCUGACAGGAUGAACAAUGAAGCCAUUGACGGAAACAGGAAGACGAGGAGUGCUUACCCCACAUGUCUAACCUGCACCAGACCCCGGGUUCAGACCCCAGCACCGCAUAAAUGGAUAAGUGGGCUGUGUGCUACGUGAAGCUUGUGUCAGUCCAAGCAGGAAGGUAGGAAUUCAAAGGUAUCCUUGGCUAGGCAGUAAUUUGAGGCCUUGGCUGGGUUAUAUGAGACCCCGUCCGUCACCCAGCCCUGGUCCCAUACCGGACACAUGCGCAGAUGGUGGGUAUAGGCUGGCAACCUCCUCACCAGCCUCACCAGCCACACCCCCACCUCUGCCAUCACGUGCGACACAGAGGCUCACAGAAAAGGGCGCCUGCGCGGUCUUCAAUGCCAAACAAACCUUUGAGCGGAAUCGAGUUGUGAUGGAGGCUUUGGGUGGAGGGAACCUUCAGGGGCUUCCUUGCCCAUCUGCUUAUCUCAAAGCCAAAGCUAUGAAAGCCGUCUCCGUUCCCCCGAAUUAUCAGGGGAGGGGGAGAAAAGGAUUCUGUAUUUCAACGUCCUUCCUAGACUCCAAUCGCCACCUUUGUUGCUGCUAUUCAAGUAUUAAAGGUCAUAGCAGCUCGCCCGGCAGCUGGUUCCUCCAGUCCUCCUCCCUACCUGCCUCCUCCGUCAGCAACAGCCAGCUACCACCUCCUGCCUGAACCUGAGCACUUGAUCUAUGACAAGACUCAUCUGGCAUUUCCAGACACUUGUCUUCUGUCCCCUUCUAAUUGCUUUGUGUCUUUGAACCGCCAGAGUUUGCUCUGGCCUGCCAAAAGACUGGAGUGCCGCCGCCGCCUGUAUGAUCUGCUCAACUCCUAACCCAAAGAGGAGGGCAGCGUGCCAAGCUACGGAGGGGCAGGGCUCCGAGAUUCCAGCUCCGCUUCUGCUUCCUUAGGUGCUGUGUGUGGGACCUUGGGAGUUUGCCCAGCA